rnacentral:rRNA from 1 species
GACGUAGGGCGCGAGCGUUGUCCGGAUUUAUUGGGCGUAAAGAGCUCGUAGGCGGCUUGUCGCGUCGACUGUGAAAACCCGCGGCUCAACCGUGUGGUCUGCAGUCGAUACGGGCAGGCUAGAGUUCGGUAGGGGAGACUGGAAUUCCUGGUGUAGCGGUGAAAUGCGCAGAUAUCGGGAGGAACACCAAUCGAAGGCAGCUCGCUGGGACGUUACGUGACGCUGGAGA